AUGUAGAAGACUUUGCCGUCGUAAUCCCUCGCCUCCUCCCAGCCAUCGGGAGAAGAGUACCCCAGGCUGGUUGCCAUGGUUCAGCUGAUAGAAGCCUUGUCUCCAAAUGACCUAUAUGCCUUCCUCCUCCAAACUCUCUUGAAGAUUUUGACAUCUGUUGUAUUAAGGUAAUGUGCAGUGAAACUGCGUAGAUGAAGUAAGGUCCUAGUAGUUAACAGUGGAGAAAAACUGAGCUGUCCUAACUUCUGGAUAUCCAUAAGAGCUGAGCUGCUUAGAGAAUGCAGCAGGAUCAUUGCCUGCUGAAAAGACAGAUGCAUUUAUUUUCACUGAGAAU